rnacentral:rRNA from 1 species
UUGGAGGGCAAGUCUGGUGCCAGCAGCCGCGGUAAUUCCAGCUCCAAUAGCGUAUAUUAAAGUUGUUGCAGUUAAAAAGCUCGUAGUUGAAUUUCGGGAUCAAAUUGUCGGUCGUGCCUCGGUACGCACUGGUAUUAUUGGUUCCUACCUUCUGAAGAACCGCGAUGUCAUUAAUUUGGUGUCGUGGGGAAUCAGGACUGUUACUUUGAAAAAAUUAGAGUGUUUAAAGCAGGCUUACGCUUGAAUACAUUAGCAUGGAAUAAUGAAAUAGGACGUUUGAUUCUAUUUUGUUGGUUUCUAGGAUUGACGUAAUGAUUAAUAGGGAUAGUUGGGGGCAUUAGUAUUCAAUUGUCAGAGGUGAAAUUCUUGGAUUUAUUGAAGACUAACUACUGCGAAAGCAUUUGCCAAGGAUGUUUUCAUUAAUCAAGAACGAAAGUUAGGGGAUCGAAGACGAUCAGAUACCGUCGUAGUCUUAAUCAUAAACUAUGCCGACUAGGGAUCGGAUGAUGUUAAUUUUUUAAUGACUCAUUCGGCGCCUUACGGGAAACCAAAGUGUUUGGGUUC